AUACGGAAGGUGCAAGCGUUACUCGGAAUCACUGGGCGUAAAGCGCGCGCAGGCGGCUAUUUAAGUUGGAUGUGAAAGCCUACGGCUCAACCGUAGAACUGCAUCCAAAACUAUUUAGCUAGAGUGUGGGAGAGGAAGAUGGAAUUAGUUGUGUAGGGGUAAAAUCCGUAGAGAUAACUAGGAAUACCAAAAGCGAAGGCAAUCUUCUGGAACACUACUGACGCUGAGGCGCGAAAGCGUGGGGAGCAAACAGAAUUAGAUACCCUAGUAGUCC
rnacentral:rRNA from 1 species